UCUGCUGAAGAAAAGUCCAACAGUUUGGGAAGAUAACUAACAAGCAAAACAGAAAUCUUCAGCAGAAGUACUCCUGGACUGGGAACCCAAAUGGUUCAGCAUUCCAAGACCAACUGACACCAACCGUCAAUCUUCAGAAUUGACUACAGAGAGGCCCAGUUAGAGGGUUACUGAGAGGGAAGUUAGUAGGGACAAUUAGGAAAAGGUUAUGUUAGGUAAUAGAACCAAGCUCAGCCCUUACAAUCACACUCAUGAUAAUUUUCUGCGCUGACCUAGAGCUUCUGUAUCAAGGCCUUGCUUCUACUGAAACUUCAGAUUUUCCUACAAAGCGAUUCCCUCAAAGGGCACAAUUUUGUUCAAAAUGGUUCAGAAGCAGGCAGCUGCUUUAGAAAAUACUCAGUGACAAUGCAUUCUCUAAAAGUAGGAAAUGAUGAUCUGGGAAUGAGUAUGCAACCUCUUCUGGAUGGAGCAGCACUUCCUCUGAAGGAUCAGUUUUGAGUUUAGAAGUUCUCCUAGACUCAACCUUUGCUUCUGGGUGGUGAGGUGGCAGCUGCAGCCAGGGAUGCUUUUGCACGGCUUUAACUACUGCACCAAGAUUGCUUUGGGAGAAGGCAGGUUUCUAGAAAAUAGAGAAUGAAAUUAACGAAAAACAAAAUGAAAAAGAAAUGUCUGAGGGAUGACAAGAGAGAGGACCAAGGUAGUCAGUACAACAUUCACACUAUCCUUGCCAGGCAAAACAUGCCUAAAGCUGCUAGAUCUCUAUACUGUUUACGCCUCACUCUCACUUUUUUUUUGCCCUAGAAGCAAGUAGUUCCAGUAGCCAUAUUUCAUAGUUUCUCAGGCACCUAGAUUUCCCAGUCUUUAAUGGGAAAAUGAUAUGCAAUAAACAAUGGCUAUGGCAAUCCAGAACUCCUGAUAUUUACUUGUGGUUCAAACAGCUGAAAAAAAUCCAAUAUAAGAUGAAGUGCUGUGAAUGUAACUGAAGCAUCUUGAAUGAAAGUUGUUCACAACUUCGUAUUACUUUAGAGUCCAUCUGCUUCAGAGGUGUCAUAGGGCCAACAAGAGAAGGACAUAACAUUCAGUACUGGCAAGGUCCACUUGCCUUGUAUCUGAUGUGCUCUGCAGUGGGCAGAGAGGCAUCUGUUAGCCAGAUUGAAGGAGUCAUCAUUUGAAAAGGAACCCCUUCCAGCAGAUUCCUGCCCACCGACCACCAAGAUGCCAUAAGAUCUAGGAGUCUUUGAAUGAGUCUGGCUGGUUGUAUGGAUGUUGCUGGAAAAAGAGAACCAGAUCCCUGAUGCACUGGAAGCGUUCCUGAGGUUGGUGGGACGAAGCUACGAGUGUCUCCACUGCUGCCAAAGAGCAUGACUCAGACUUGGCCAGAUGUUUGCCAGUGCUUAAUUGUUGGUGGAUAAACUCAGAACGAACUUAACCAUCGAGGAGUGACAGCCCGAGGACUGGAUGCAACAGCGCAUGCUGAAGAUGUGUGGGCAAGGCUUGGGCACCUCAACGAGCUACAACAUUCUACCACGAGGGUCCUGUGCAGGCACAUUACCCCCAUUCUUAUGGAUCUCGACAGAUCUCGAUCCAGAUUAUCUAGUUGAUGUUUUGAUGAUGUUGCAGUUUUUCUAAUGGACCAACAUGGCUGCAAACUUUUUAUAAAUUAACAAAUUACUUAAAAGUUUUCUUUCUCUGGCA